rnacentral:tRNA from 1 species
GGCGGGGUAGCUCAGUUGGUUAGAGCGCGGGACUCAUAAGCCCGAGGUCGUGGGUUCGAUCCCCACCCCCGCUACCA